CAUGGGAUAGGAGAUCGAAACCCAUCAAAACCGUAUCUUGGAUCCUGAUAUCCGGAGGUUGGGACACUUCCAGGUGGAGGUCCCCUUCCAUAAGAAUUAUUGGUAUUAAAUGAGCUGGGGUAUGAUGGUUUUAUUGCGCCUGGACCAUUAUUCCCCUUCACACUGCCACCAUUGGCAACUCCAUUGGAAUUUGAGUUCGGUGUUUCAACAGGUAACGGCUUCUGAUCAGCAGCAGCAGAGGUCAAAAGCUCACCAUGGGAUGGAGCAGCAGGGUUUGGCGUGAACGGACCACUGGUUAGAGUCAUCGGCUGGAAGAAGGGAGGAUACUGGUAGUGUUGUGGACCAUACAAUUGACCAUCAUUCCCCAGAGUCGGAACUGGGGAAGCUGCAGGUGAAUACGGUCCAUAUGGUGCAUAGCUGUAACCAUGAUGAUACAUAAGAGAUCCAUUGUCCCCGUAAACCCCCUGAAAACGUAGUACAUGGAGAUUCAAUAAAAUUCAUGAAAGAUUUAGCAGUUAAUAGUAACUUUGAGUACAAGGAGAACAUGAAAAGGACUUACUGAAGUCAUGUCAGCUCCAUCUGGAUUUAAAUAUUGUGAAUAUUCAUCCCACUCAUUACCGGUGCCAUCAAAGCCUGCAAUAUAAAUUAUACAUACAUGAAUCCAAUUCUAGCCCUGAUUAAUUCAGCAUAAAAGAUGCAGAAACAAAGGAACUGCUCGUUUACUACCUCCAUAGUAAUACGCAGAUGGAUAACCACUAGGAAUAUAGCACAUAUUCGGAUCCAUAAAAUCCUGUAGCAAAGGUGUUGUGGAUCUGUCAAACGUCGGAAUUUGGGUAUUCCCAGUGUUGCCUGAAUCAACAGAACCAUACUGAUAAACAGAAGGCUGCACAGAAAAAUAAAUCAGGCAUUUAGAUAUCCAUUGAAAUUCUUGCAACAGAACGAACAUAGAUCUGCAUACUUUCUUCCAUGAUUGAAUCGUCCACAUCAUAUACAAUAGUUUUAUCCAUAAUUAAAAUAGAAGUAGUAAAAGGAGAUUACCUUCUUAGUAGGCUCAGGAAUAUCGAAGGGCUUUGCCUGUGAAUCUAUAGUCAAUUUCUGCAACAGCUCUGCUGUUUCUAAAAGGAGUAAAAGAAUACAAACCUUGGCAACUUAGAAAAAAAUUCCGAAUCUAUAACGUUCACAACUCAGAAAUCGCCGAAAUCGCCACAAAUAUUCUUAAAGAUUGGAAAGAGCAACAAAGAACAAGUUAAACGACAAAUUCAAUCAUAUCAAAUCGAAUAACAACAUAAAAGAUAAAUUACCAGAAACAACCAAGCAAAAGAAGAUCAAGAACCAUAUAAAUGAAGCAAAACAGCAUCUAUCUCAUAAAUUCAAAAGAAUAUGAAUCGUGAAAGCAACAAAUUCAAAUCGAAAAGUGCAAACAAAGUACAGAUCUAAAAGAAACCGAAACCAAAAAAAAAUUCAUAGCCGCAAAAAGGAACAUAAACGAAUAAUUAAGGAUACGAUCUGCAGGAGGAGCAACUGUAGGCGCCAUUAACAACACUUAAAAAUCUCUAAACCCUAAUAAAUCCCAAAAUCUCAGAUGUAUGGGGGUUUUAGAAGACAAAAGAGAGAGAGAGAGGGAUAAAAGAGAGGGCAAAAGGGAACAACACCAGUUACAC
rnacentral:lncRNA from 1 species